rnacentral:rRNA from 1 species
CAGGCGGUUUGUUAAGUCAGAUGUGAAAUCCCCGAGCUUAACUUGGGAACUGCAUUUGAAACUGGCAAGCUAGAGUCUUGUAGAGGGGGGUAGAAUUCCAGGUGUAGCGGUGAAAUGCGUAGAGAUCUGGAGGAAUACCGGUGGCGAAGGCGGCCCCCUGGACAAAGACUGACGCUCAGGUGCGAAAGCGUGGGGAGCAAACAGGAUUAGAUACCCUGGUAGUCCACGCUGUAAACGAUGUCGACUUGGAGGUUGUGCCCUUGAGGCGUGGCUUCCGGAGCUAACGCGUUAAGUCGACCGCCUGGGGAGUACGGCCGCAAGGUUAAAACUC